rnacentral:rRNA from 1 species
AAUCAACGCUGGCGGCGUGCCUCAGACAUGCAAGUCGAACGAUUAAACUUUCCUUCGGGAAAGAUAUAAAGUGGCGCACGGGUGAGUAACACGUAAGUAAUCUACCUUCGAGUGGGGAAUAACGUUCGGAAACGAACGCUAAUACCGCAUAAUGCAGCGGCAUCGCAAGAUGACAGUUGUUAAAGGAUUUAUUCGCUUGA